UGAUGUACAUAGCCUCGAUCCCAGGCCGAGUUUUCGCUUUUAUAACGGUUAGGCGAACAACUGGGCCUGGUACUAGUUGUCUGCGCAUGCGUCAGUCGUUCGUCAGAUUCUGACGAAUGGAUAUUCUCGUUCACUUUCGUGACAUUUAUAUUCGUGUACUAUCGUGUACUAGAAGUCAGUUCCCGUUUUAUCAUUAUUGGAAUCGAUUGGAAUGGCUCUUAGCUGAAGCUUCUCUCUUCUCUGAAGCUUAUUCUGAAGACUGAACAACAAGGGAAGAGGUAUAAAGCUUUGUCAAGCUUGUUAAGGUCAGAUAUUUUUGUGUGGGCCCUAUGGCCGGCUAUGCUAUCAAGUCUUGUUCAUGUUUGGCAAGAAUGUAGGUAGACUAUAGUUUCAUCAUUAAUAUGGUGGAUCAAGUGAAGAGUGUGAGCUAGAGAACUUGGUGCUGCCAUCAUCAGCUCGUCGACAAUGACACUAUAACCGAGAAAUUUAAUAUGUAUAGAUCUACACGUAUUUAGAAUGUCUACUUCUCUGUACAGGCGCAAUGGCUAAUAUCCAGCUAUCCCAACAGUGCUCCUCUUGGCUAUACUAACGGACGAGACUGGACAGUUUGAGACACAGGACUGGAGUAUGACCUGUUGCUGGGUAGCUCAGAGACAUCAAGAGAAUCUACGUUUUCUCAAGCAAUGAGUUACGAGUUGGGGCCUAGAAUCAGAGAAGUCCAGCAGCCUGCUAAAUCUUUUUGAAACGUAAUUUGAAGGCAUUCAAUCAUCCUGAAGUUGCCCUGGGUCACUGUAAUUGUGCUGCAGCACAACUGGCAACUCCCCAGGCCUUUGUGAAGCAGCUCCCUAUGUGCAUCUUUUGUGUACUCACUCUGUGCAUUUUCUGUGUACAAAUUUCAAUUAUUGAUUUAUUAAAUAUUUUUGCCGACCACAAA